rnacentral:ncRNA from 10 species
GAUCUGACCGGGAAGUUAAUGGCGUUGCCGGUUGUUGAGAGCGGCGUAGGAUUGAUGGUCCUGCCGAAGGUCGGCAGGGAUGCGAGGGGCUGAACGGUUUCGACUUCGCGCAUCGAAUCAAGGGAAGCGUGCCGGUGCAGGCAAGAGACCACCGUAAGCGUCGUUGCGACCAAAUAAGCGCCGAUUCACAUCAGCGCGACUACGCUCUCGCUGCCUAAGCGACGGCUAGUCUGUCAGACCGGGAACGCCCUCGGCCCGGACCCUGGCAUCAGCUAGAGGGAUCCACCGAUGAGUCCGGUCGCGGGACUCCUCGGGACAACCACAGCGACUGGGAUCGUCAUCUCGGCUAGUUCGCGUGACCGGGAGAUCCGAGCAGAGGCAUAGCGAACUGCGCACGGAGAAGCCUUGAGGGAAUGCCGUAGGACCCGGGUUCGAUUCCCGGCAGCUCCACCGAAGGGCCAGGUCGGUGGCCCAUUUGCAGAUGCGACGGCCAUCACAGACCAAGGUAUCGUGCCACGGCGUGUUCCACCUUGGCCAUUUGGUCACGGUCCAGAUAGUCGACCGGAUCGCCGUGCACAUAGACGAUGCCGAUCGUCCGGAUCUGAUC